rnacentral:lncRNA from 1 species
CCCUUGAUCUUCUGACACAUCCCUACCCUGUUUGUUCAGCAUAAAUUACUAUUGAGAAAUAUCACAACCAGCCCUUGUUUACCAGCAAGUCUAAAAUCCAUGCUUUUCUUAUUUUUGUUUGUUUUUAAGAUAGAAUUCCAUGGAAUAGCCCAGGCUGACCUCACACUAGGAGUCUUUCUUCCUCAGCCUCCUGAGUUCUUGGGAUACAAUGGUAUACCACCAGGUCGGAGCUCAAAAGUUGUUAAAAUAAGAUUUAAAAACAAAACCAAGCAGAUUCCCCAGGCCAGUCAUCAGGCCAUGAUUAAAAUCUGUUCCUCACUGAUGAUCAGUCCCAUGAUUUGA